GAUGAACGCUGGCGGCGUGCCUAAUACAUGCAAGUCGAGCGAACGGACGAGAAGCUUGCUUUUCUGAUGUUAGCGGCGGACGGGUGAGUAACACGUGGAUAACCUACCUAUAAGACUGGGAUAACUUCGGGAAACCGGAGCUAAUACCGGAUAAUAUUUUGAACCGCAUGGUUCAAAAGUGAAAGACGGUCUUGCUGUCACUUAUAGAUGGAUCCGCGCUGCAUUAGCUAGUUGGUAAGGUAACGGCUUACCAAGGCAACGAUGCAUAGCCGACCUGAGAGGGUGAUCGGCGACACUGGAACUGAGACACGAUCCAGACUCCUACGGGAGGCAGCAGUAGGGAAUCUUCCGCAAUGGGCGAAAGCCUGACGGAGCAACGCCGCGUGAGUGAUGAAGGUCUUCGGAUCGUAAAACUCUGUUAUUAGGGAAGAACAUAUGUGUAAGUAACUGUGCACAUCUUGACGGUACCUAAUCAGAAAGCCACGGCUAACUACGUG
rnacentral:rRNA from 1 species